AUGACUUUGGUGAGGAAAUUUGACUGUUCGCGAUUUAGAAACCAAGACGGAUCCGUGAGUGGACGAGGGGUAAACCUGAACGGACUCUAUGCCAGGACCCCCGAACCACAUCGAGAGCUAGCGAAGAUGGAAGGGGAGAGCGAGCCGGCGGCGGCCGCAGCGGUCUUCUCGGCAGUGCUCGACGAUGACGAUCUCCUGGGCGAGAUCCUCGCCCGCGUCGCCUUCCCCACAAGCUUCGUCCGCGCCGCGCUCGUCUGCAAGCGCUGGCUCCGCCUCGCCUCCGCGCCCGCCUUCCUCCGUCGCUUCGGCGACCUCCACUCGCCCAGCCUUCUCGGCUUCUACGUCGUCACCAGGGCCCAUGCAUCCGCCGAGAAGCAAUCCCCGCAGUUCGUGCCGGUGCCUCAGCCGCCUGAGCUCGCCGCCGUUGCCCGCCGCGCUAGCUUCAAUUUGGACUCCUUGCGCGGCGACUGGUUGCGCAGCGAGUGGUUCGACCUAGACUGCCGGAACGGCCUCGUCCACGUCUUCCAUGGGCACGGGCACCCCGAAGUAAUGGUGCGCAGCCCCUUGUGCCCUGCAACAUACACGGCCGUCCUCCCACCAGUUCCCAGCACCAGCAUCCAUGACGGCUUCACAUACUACUACCAUGAUAUCCUCGCCAAUGGCGGCGGCCAGUCCUACUUCUGUUUGGCGCUAGGGUCUAAAGAGCAGCAGCCAGUUUGGGAUGUCUAUGUGUUGCAGGGCGAUACCUGGGCCAUCUACUCCUCGGUUGUACCUGAAAUCCAAGAAAUUGCGCUGGCAUUGAAUAGUUUGAUUUCUCAUGACAAGAUGUAUAAUCUGGCCCUUGUGAGCGGCACUUUCAUGCUAGUCUUGCUGGAUCUCCCGUCGUCAUCUUUGUCGCUGGUUAGCCUCCCGGAAGAGGUGGAGUAUAAGAGCACCGGCAUGUCGCUUGCAAAUGAUGAUUCUGGAGUCCAUCUGAUCCAUGUAAAAGGAUCCCAUCUUCGCAUCUGGCUUUACGACAUGACGGAUAAGAAAGGCCUCGCCGACUGGUUACUUGUAGAUACCAUUUGCUUGCGUGAGAUAUGUGUCCAUCAAAUGAUAUCAACUAGAAUGUUUGACGAUGUGGGUGAUCCUUCUCUUAUGGUACGUGAAGUUGGGGUCGAUUCAGGGUUUCUUUUCUUGGAGGCGGAUGGUGUCCUCUACCUGUUUGAUAUCAAACGUAAGGAGUUAAAGAAGGUUUAUGAGGUCACACAAGAGGAUAGAUACUUGUAUGGAGUCACACCCUUUAUGAUGGUUUGGCCUCCUAAAUUCCCUGUGAUGAAGGAAGGGUGUGAUCCAAAAGAAUGA
rnacentral:rRNA from 1 species